AUUAGCGACUUAGCACUACACCCUUUGUGACAUACCUACAACUGUUGCUUCGGCGGGUAGGGUCUCCGCGACCCUCCCGGCCUCCCGCCUCCGGGCGGGUCGGCGCCCGCCGGAGGAUAACCAAACUCUGAUUUAACGACGUUUCUUCUGAGUGGUACAAGCAAAUAAUCAAAACUUUUAACAACGGAUCUCUUGGUUCUGGCAUCGAUGAAGAACGCAGCGAAAUGCGAUAAGUAAUGUGAAUUGCAGAAUUCAGUGAAUCAUCGAAUCUUUGAACGCACAUUGCGCCCGCCAGCAUUCUGGCGGGCAUGCCUGUUCGAGCGUCAUUUCAACCCUCAAGCUCUGCUUGGUGUUGGGGCCCUACAGCCGAUGUAGGCCCUCAAAGGUAGUGGCGGACCCUCCCGGAGCCUCCUUUGCGUAGUAACUUUACGUCUCGCACUGGGAUCCGGAGGGACUCUUGCCGUAAAACCCCCCAAUUUUCCAAAGGUUGACCUCGGAUCAGGUAGGAAUACCCGCUGAACUUAAGCAUAUCAUAAGGGGGGAGGA
rnacentral:rRNA from 1 species